rnacentral:rRNA from 1 species
AUUGAACGCUGGCGGCAUGCUUUACACAUGCAAGUCGAACGGCAGCACUGUCUUCGGCCUUGUUGCGAGUGGCGAACGGGUGUGUAAUCUAUCGAAACAUACCCAGAAGUGGUGGAUAACGUCGCGGAAUUUAUGCUAAUAACGCUAACUAUUACUGGAUGAAAGUAGUGAUUGCAAGGUCCUUGUUCUCAUGGAGCAGCCGCUAUCUGAUUAGCUAGUUGGUGGGGUAAAGGCUCACCAAGGGGACUAUCAGUAGCUGGUCUGAGAGGACGACGAGCCACACGGGAACUGAGACAGGGUCCAGACUCCUACGGGAGGCAGCAUAGGGGAAUUUUGGACAAGGGGCGCAAGCCUGAUCAAGCAAUGCGGCGUGAGUGAAGAAGGCCUUCGGGUUGUAAAGCUCGUUUGUCAGGGAAGAAACGGUAGAGGCUAAUAACCUCUGCUAAUGACGGUACCUUAAGAAUAAGCACCGGCUAACUACGUG